rnacentral:lncRNA from 10 species
GUCAGCGGACUACAAGAAGCAGAGCCACCCUCAAUCUGGGUAGACACCAUCUAAUCAGCUACCAGCAAGGCUAGAAUAAAACAGGCAGGAGAAGAUGGAAGAGCAGACUUGCUGAGACUUCUGGCCUUCAUCUUUCUCCUGUGCUAGGUGCUUCCUGCCCUCGAACAUCAGACUCCAAGUUCUUCAGCUUUCAAAAUCUUGGACUUAUAUUGGUAAUUUGCCAGAGACCCUUGGGCCUUUGGCCACAGACUGAAGGCUGCACUGUUGGCUUCCCUAUUCUUGAGGUUUUGGGACUCGCACUGAUCCACCACUGGCUUCCUUGGCUCCUCAACUUGCAGCCGGCCUAUCAUGGGACUUACCUAGUGAUCAGAUACUCAAUCUCUAGGAAACCCAAUUGACAAGUUUCUGGCAAUUCAACACCAUGUAGUAUCGCACGUCAGAAAUCGGAAUGCUGUGACCUCUGAGAUAAUUCACCCACCGGAGUCAGACUGCUGAAGAACACUGGAUGGGUGGAAAAGGAACAUCUCAACCAGGAGAGAAGGAACUGAGUCAAGAAAGGGCUGCAUCUGGUGAAUAUGUCCCUCCCAGUGAUGGAACCCAGGGCUGCUGCAGCCAAGAGUCUAUAACAGUGGAGACGCCUUGAGCAAAGCCCCAGAGCCCUUGAGCUGCCUGUUCCCCUCCUCUGACAUGAUGGGUAAUCUGAUGGAAGCGCUGAGAGGCACUGCCUAGAAUUAAGCCCUAUGUGUAAACGAAGCAAGGAAGAAAGAACAUGUGCUAUCAAAUAUGAUUCAUGAUUCAAAUAUAUUUUAAUAUCUUAUUCUUUUCACACUCUGAGAAACUAUUCUGAUAAUGUGAUUGUUUUGUAAAGGAGUGUAUCUUCGGAUAAUAUACAGAUUUUAUAGCUAUUGCACAGUUUUAAUAAGCAAAAGACUUGCUAGGUUGAACUGGGUUCAACCCAAACCACUGUACAAUUUAAUUCAACACAAUAUUCCUCUGUUUAAAGUGCAUGUAAUUGCCAAUUUAUACAGUCACCAAGACCAAAGGUUUGCUAAAUAGAGUUCUGCAAACAUAGUAUGGCAUGUUUUAUCC